GGAAUUGUAGCUCAGUGGUAGAGUGCUUACUAGCAUAUGUGAGAUACUGAGUUCAAUUCUCAGCACCA
rnacentral:tRNA from 1 species